UUGGCAUUGCUGGGAUUGGUACCACU
rnacentral:misc_RNA from 1 species